rnacentral:rRNA from 1 species
CGUCUGCCUACAAGCGGUAGGAGCCCCUACGUGGGGUGACUGCGUGCCUUUUGCAUAAUGAACCUACGAGUUGCCGUUGCUGGCAAGGCUAACCGGCUAGAGUCGGGUACCCGGAGCGAAAGCGAGUCUGAAUAGGGCGCAUAUAGUCAGCAGGGGCAGACGCGAAACCAAGUGAUCUACCCUUGGCCAGGUUGAAGGUUAGGUAACACUAAUUGGAGGACCGCAUCGGUAAGCGUUGAAAAGCUUUCGAAUGAGCUGAGGGUAGGGGUGAAAGGCUAAUCAAACUUGGAGAUAGCUCGUACUCCCCGAAAUGCAUUUAGGUGCAGCCUGUUGGAUGUUAUCAUGAGGUAGAGCGACUGAUUGGAUGCGAGGGUUUCACCGCCUAUCAAGUCCAGAUAAACUCCGAAUGCAUGAUAAUUGACCGAUGGAGUGAGGGCAUGGGUGCUAAGGUCCAUGUCCGAGAGGAGAAGAAUCCGGACCACCGGCUAAGGUCCCGAAAUAAUUGCUAAGUUGUAAAAACGAAGUCAAGAUGCAGAGACAGCUAGGAUGUUGGCUUGGAAGCAGCCAUUCAUUUAAAGAGUGCGUAACAGCUCACUAGUCGAGGAUUUUGGCAUGGAUAAUAAUCGGGCAUAAGCAGUGUACCGAAGCUGUGGGAUGUUAAUACAUCGGUAGGGGAGCAUUCUAACGGAGUAGAAGAUUCGAAGACGAUUCGGGUUGGAUUUGUUAGAAAAGCAAAUGUAGGUAUAAGUAACGAUAAAGGGGGUCAGAAACCCCCUCGCCGAAAGACCAAGGUUUCCUGAUCAACGCUAAACGGAUCAGGGUUAGUCGGGCCCUAAGCGGAAGCCGAACGGCGCACGCGAUGGCAGAAUGGGUUAAUAUUCCCAUACUAAUCAUAUGAGUGAUGUGGAGACGGAGAAGUGACAGUACGGCCAACUGACGGAAUAGUUGGUUAAAGGGUGUAGAUGUAGAUUGGGGUAGGCAAAUCCGCCCUGAGAGUCGAACCUGAUAGUACAGAGCGUGCAUGCACAAUCUGAAAAGUACGUAAACAGGCUCCCAAGAAAAUCCGCUAAACAUAUUGUAUGAUUACCCGUACCGUAAACCGACACAGGUGGUUGGGUUGAGUAUACUAAGGCGCUCGAGUGAUUCGCGGUUAAGGAACUAGGCAAAAUAGUCCUGUAACUUCGGGAAAAAGGACGCCUCUGAGUGAUCAGAGGUCGCAGAGAAAAGGCCCUGGCGACUGUUUAACAAAAACACAUGGCUAUGCGAAAUAGAAAUAUGCAGUAUAUAGCCUGACACCUGCCCGGUGCCGGAAGGUUAAGAGGAGAGGUCAUCCUUUUAGGAGAAGCUUUGAAUUGAAGCCCCGGUAAACGGCGGCCGUAACUAUAACGGUCCUAAGGUAGCGAAAUUCCUUGUCGGGU